rnacentral:misc_RNA from 1 species
GUAUAUUUCUUUUUCAUACAUUCAACAUUUCAAUGUGAUUGUAAUAAUAAAAAGGGAAAGCCGAACUAUCAACAAAAGCACAGCAGUCCCAAUAUGAUGCACAAGUUGGAGAAAUAAUAAAGGUGUGCACAUGCCUGAAAGGCCAGCAACAACCCGUUUUCAAUAAUGAUCCUUCCGCAGGUUCACCUACGGAAA